CUACGGGGUGCAGCAGUGGGGAAUAUUGGACAAUGGGCGAAAGCCUGAUCCAGCAAUGCCGCGUGUGUGAAGAAGGCCUGCGGGUUGUAAAGCACUUUCGGUAGGGAAGAUAAUGACGGUACCUACAGAAGAAGCACCGGCUAACUCCGUGCCAGCAGCCGCGGUAAUACGGAGGGUGCAAGCGUUAAUCGGAAUUACUGGGCGUAAAGCGCGCGUAGGCGGUUCGUUAAGUCGGGUGUGAAAUCCCUGGGCUCAACCUAGGAAUUGCAUUCGAUACUGGCAGGCUAGAGUGUGGUAGAGGGAAGUGGAAUUCCAGGUGUAGCGGUGAAAUGCGUAGAUAUCUGGAGGAACAUCAGUGGCGAAGGCGACUUCCUGGACCAACACUGACGCUGAGGCGCGAAAGCGUGGGGAGCAAACAGGAUUAGAUACCCCAGUAGUC
rnacentral:rRNA from 1 species